rnacentral:rRNA from 1 species
UACGUAGGAUGCAAGCGUUGUCCGGAAUUAUUGGGCGUAAAGAGCGCGCAGGCGGUAACUCAAGUCAGAUGUGAAAUAUCCGGGCUUAACCCGGAGGGGUCAUUUGAAACUGAGUAACUAGAGUACAGCAGAGGAUAGCGGAAUUCCCGGUGUAGUGGUGAAAUGCGUAGAUAUCAGGAGGAACACCGGUGGCGAAGGCGGGUCUCUGGGCAGUAACUGACGCUGGAGGAGCGAAAGCGUGGGGAGCGAACAGG